rnacentral:rRNA from 1 species
CGAAAGCCUAUCUCAGUUCGGAUUGGAGGCUGAAACUCGCCUCCAUGAAGUUGGAUUCGCUAGUAAUCGCGCAUCAGCCAUGGCGCGGUGAAUACGUUCCCGGGCCUUGUACACACCGCCCGUCAAGCCAUGGGAGUUGGGGGUGCCUGAAGUUCGUGACCGCAAGGAGCGACCUAGGGCAAAACUGAUGACUGGGGCUAAGUCGUAACAAGGUAGC